CCGCCGCACCGCCGACGAGUCCUCCUCCUCACCCUCUGCCUCUUCCACCAGCGACGGCGUCCACGUGCCUCUAUCUUGGCUGAGGGCUUGACGAAGAUGUCUGGAAAUUCAUCACGGACCAGAUCACGUAGACUUAUACAGCGCGGAGACCUACAUCAUCAAGUGAGAGAGCGUAGGAGAGAUCUCGAAUCUGUUCAUAGUGUUACAUCUGUACCUAGCAUUGGAGAGUUCACUCCAGUGAGAGAUGUAGAUGCAAAUCGACAAGCGCCUACAGACCUAAAUUAUUUACAGACGACCCCCCUUUCGCACUCCAUACCUUCUGGACAGUCAUCAGCUGCAUCUACAUCUGCACCGGCAUGUGUUUCAAAACAGUCUUUUAAUCUUCAUUCCUAAUCGUUCUCGGAAACAUGCGGAGCGACAAGGCGAUGGAGUGCAAUCGCGAUCCUCUGUUCCCACUCGAGGCCCCAAUACUUCCUAUAAGCUUAAGCCCAAUGCUAAAAAAGGUGAGAAGGCAUGACCUCUGUUCCUCAAUAAUAGGACCCGCCCCAUUGGUGAUUAUGCUGAGAAAUGGGGAAAGUAUGUGGGGACGGAGAGUCGUGUGUACUGCAAAUAUCCUCUCCAUUUAGAAUGGGGUGAUGAACAUAAUAGGUCAUUUGACGAGUUCUUUAUAAGAUGCCAGAAGGAUUAUGAGUUUCUCCAUGUGGAUCCUAAUCGGCCUCUCUCCCAUCAUAUUAUUUAUCGAGGAAUGAAAUCUCAACUACAGGAGAGGGUUCGGUAUAAUAGGUGUCAGGUAAAACAUGAGUGUUUUGAGGUGUGGAAAAAUACUCCCAAAGCAGAGAGGGAGGCUCUCUAGCUUGCUCCGGUGUUUUCUUAGAUUGAUAGAGACUCAUGGACUAAUUUGUGUGCAUAUUAUGAUGCAGAGGACAAGAAGGAGGAGACAAGACGUAAUGCGCAGAAUCGGGCAUCAAAUUUGCAUGGUAGAGCAACCUAUACAGGUGGCUCGAGGAAUAUGUGCCGGGCUAUGGAACAAUUGAAAUGUCAAAUCAUUAAGGAUGGUGGCACACCUAUACUGUUGAAACUAUAUUUGGGUACCCACUCGUCAUCACGUCAUCAGUAGAUAAGAUCACCGGAGAGUAUACAUACCUGGACAAUAGCACUAAGGAGUAUUGCAAGCGGGUCAUCGAGAAGACAACCUCAUCAAGGGUCGAUUCAACCCCAGAGGACGAUGCACUUUCCUUCACCCAGAUGUUAGAUUCCUUGCACGGAGGGUCACAGUGGUUAUGAAAGAGCCAUGGGCAUUGGUGUCACUCGGUCUUAUUUGAGGGCCUCCUCUAUACCAGAAAUUAGCACUUCUAAUUAGGAGCUACGUCGCGAGGUUGCUGAUCUUAGAGCUCGGGUAGCUGAGAUGGACAGUCUCAGGGAGGAGCUUAGGUCUCAGAUGCAUUGGAUUAAUAACAAUAUGGUACAUAUGCUAAUAUACACACUCCCGCAUACACAUGUACACUAGCAUACACAAAUAUACAUAUAUCUAAUACUUAUACACACAUAAACACACACAUAGACUUAACACAUAGUCGCGUAUAUACUCAUACAUUGCUAUUACUUUAAAUUUUAAGUCUCAGGGUGCUUGUCCUGCUCCCACUCCUAUUGAUCCACCAUCCUUUACUUGUCCCUGUCUAAUUCCUCAACCCAUUGCCGAUAUACCACAUUCUGCUCGUCCUGCUUCGGCUACUAACACUUCUACUUCCAGUGCUCAAUGUUUAUCACAGGAGAAUUUUGUUAGGAUAUUUGCAGAAUUAAGGCAUUUGGGUUUGUCCCAGGAGGACAUUCUUCGAGGAAUUUCUUCUGUUCCUUGACUGGAUUGAUUGGGCCACUUCUAAUUUUAUUUUGGACAUUUGAGGCAUUUUGGAUGUUAGAGACACAUAUAUAAUAUUAGAUGCUUUCCAUUGUGAGAUAUUGAGUAAUCAUUGUGUAUGUAUAUGUUUUGUCUCUAAUAUUGAAUAUUGAGUAAUCAUUGGAUAUUUAGCACCGUUUGAGACUUUUUUGU